rnacentral:rRNA from 1 species
UACGUAGGUGGCAAGCGUUGUCCGGAUUUACUGGGCGUAAAGAGCGCGCAGGCAGUCGUUCAAGUCGCGUGUGAAAGCCCCCGGCUCAACUGGGGAGGGUCACGCGAUACUGAUCGACUCGAAGGCAGGAGAGGGUAGUGGAAUUCCCGGUGUAGUGGUGAAAUGCGUAGAUAUCGGGAGGAACACCAGUGGCGAAGGCGACUACCUGGCCUGUUCUUGACGCUGAGGCGCGAAAGCUAGGGGAGCAAACGGG